AUUGAACGCUGGCGGCAGGCCUAACACAUGCACGUCGAACUAGUGGCAGACGGGUGAGUAAUGUCUGUGAAACUGCCUGAUGGAGGGGGAUAACUACUGGAAACGGUAGCUAAUACCGCAUACCAUCAGAUGUGCCCAGAUGGGAUUAGCUUGUUGGUGGGGUAACGGCUCACAACAGCGACGAUCCCUAGCUGGUCUGCGAGGAUGACAAGCAACACGGGAACUGAGACACGGGCCAGACGCCUACGGUAGUCAGCAGUGCGGAAGAUUGAACAAUGGGCGCAAGCCUUAUGCAGCCAGGCCGCGUGGAUUAAGAAGGCCUUCGGGUUGUAAAGUACUUUCAGCGGGGAGGCGUUACCCGCAGAAGAAGCACCGGCUAACUCCGUGCCAGCAGCCGCGGUAAUAC
rnacentral:rRNA from 1 species